UACGUAGGGGGCAAGCGUUGUCCGGAAUCAUUGGGCGUAAAGAGCGUGUAGGCGGCUUGGUAAGUCCGCUGUGAAAGUCCAGGGCUCAACCCUGGAAAGCCGGUGGAAACUGUCAAGCUUGAGUCCGGAAGAGGCGAGUGGAAUUCCUGGUGUAGCGGUGAAAUGCGCAGAUAUCAGGAGGAACACCAAUGGCGAAGGCAGCUCGCUGGGACGGUACUGACGCUGGAGACGCGAAAGCGUGGGGAGCAAACAGG
rnacentral:rRNA from 1 species